CUGAUGUAUUUGCGAAGUCCAGCCUGGCAUAUUGAAGUGGAAUUGUUUCGGCUGGUGUACAAGUUUUCUUUAAUUUGUCCUCACAAAGCCAAGUAAAGCCCUUUCUCUCUCAUUUGGUUCGAAAUGAAAAGAGAUGGGAGAUAUCCCUCUCCUCCCUUCUUACUCCCUCCGUCGAUCAGAGAGGAUCGCAGCCACCGCCAUUCGCCGGCGCCGCUCGGAAUCAGAUUUCAUCUGAGGGAAGGUCGCGGCUGAGGCGGUUGCAUGUGGUUGAUUUUGAAGAGGAGGAAAUCUGGAGAUCUGAAGGCUGCGUUCCCUGAGCAGAUCUGGGGUGUCUCCGUCGUUCAAUAGACGGCGGCGGCGACUAUGAUUGAAAAGGGAGAUGAGAGAGAGAGGGAUGCGGCAGAGCGGCGGUUUAGCCGGAGGUCGAGACUGGAAAUGGUGACUCCUUCUUUCUGCCGCUACUCGAUCGAAAGGAAGGGGUCGUUCGACGGCCCGCGCUCGUGGGGAGAAGAGAGGAAAGAGGCUCUGGGUUGGAGGUGGAGGCGACGACAACUCGUAGAUCUGGAGCUCGGGCGCGGCGCCGUGCAGUCGUCGGCGGAUGGGGAGGCGAGGCGUGUGGCUGCUGCGAUGUGCCGUCGGCAGUUGUCUCUAUUUUGUGAAGGGAGAGAAGCGAGCCCUCUCUUAUUAUUUGAAUUUUCUGCUCUUGUUCCGGCAGUAUCAAUGCAGUCCGAUUUUUGUUCGAGUGAUUCCGUUUCAGCCCGGGGACACUACCGCAUCUCCCAAGGUGCUGCCGACGCCGACGUUAUUCAUUCGGGACCGUGGGAGUUGUGAGGGAGCGAGCAGCAUCGAGAAGGCAAAGGAGAAAUUUUUGUGCAGGUUUUGAGUUUCUCCACGGGAGAGAUUGGCUCAGGAACGGAGGGCAGCGACGAAACGAGAUCUUGAGAGAAGGUUAUAGACCUUUUUUUUUGUGGACCUAUUGUCGAAGCUACUAUGUAUUAGUUUGAUAGCUUUGAUUUGUCGAAUCCUGCACCCAUUUCUUGAUUUUGAUUUUGGAUUGAGAUGGAAUUGCUUGUAUCUAUGAGAGUUGUUUGUAUCUAGUAGAAGAUAGGCUUGUUUUAUCCAAAUGCUUUUGCCUCUCAAUGCUAUUUUGCCCACAACUUGUGAUUUAAAAUAUCAAUACUGUAAUAAGUAGAAAUUGUUUA